rnacentral:lncRNA from 1 species
GGGAUGGAGAAGUGGCCCUGGAAGGGCGUGGCCGCAGGGGGCUGGCAGGGGUUUUCACCUCGGCCACCAGGAAACCCGCCGCAGCUAGGAGACAGCACCGGCGUAGUUGAGGCGGGGAGCGGGGCAGGAAGGAGCCGGAGGGCGUGGGCUCCGGCUCAGGUGGAAAUCCUUCCUCCUCCAGAGGAGCGGCUGAAGGCCGGCGUGACCGGGCGGUGCUGUCGGGAAGACGGAGGAAACACCAGCCCAGCACUGACAUCCCGACACUGCCUGGGGUGAGUGCUGCGGCCUUUGUGUUCAUUCAACAAAUUCAAAAAUUCAUUGAGUCCCACUAGGAGCAGGGUGCCAGAGGCCCCUCAUGCCCUCACUACCCUGUGAUGGGUUGAGAUGUGGAAGGGAGACCCAACAGCUCACCCUGAAAGUGGUACAGGAAAGCUUUCAAGAGGAAGGGUCACUAGAGCUGGGUUUUUUUUACUGGGGAUCGAACUCGGGCCCUUGUGCUUGCAAGACAGGCAGCAGAACCACUGAGCUAAAUCCCCGGCCCCCUGAAUGAGUUCACUUUUGCUUGAAAGUUCAUCCAAAACUCCUUGAUCCCCCAGAAAUGCCAGAAGCCCUAAGGAGCCCUCCAAUUCUGGGAAAACAAAGCCAACACAGAUACCUCCGUGGACUCAGGACUGGGAACCAGAACUCUCACCAAUGGGUCAGGGAGGGCUCCCUGGAAAUGGACCCCUUGAAAAGGGCUUUGGGGAAAGAACAGUACAUUUAGGGAUCUCAGAUUGGCCGGGGGCCAUGCUUAGAUUAAGGAACUGCUAAAAACAGGAAGAGUGGGUAACGGCUGUAACCAAAAGCUCCGGGCUUCCUGGUGGGGUGGGGGAAAAGGGCUGUAGGUGCAGCUUAGUGGUGAGCGCUGGCCCAGGAUGUGAGAGGCCCUGGGUUCCAGCACCCCUAAAACACAAGGAGCCGGCAUGGGUUGGGGCGCUGAAGGGGAUCUUGGGAGGGAUGGGCUGGGGACGGGUCAAGGGUGAAUUCAGUCAUUUUCCCACCCGGGUGCCUGUACAUGUGCAGCCAGGUGUCCAGCGCAGCUCAGGGAACGCAUCUCGUCUCCCGCAGGGGCCAUCAAGGAUCUGGCCACCAGGAUGCGCUGGCCCCGGGCACGGAGGCCCGACCGGAGCCUGGUGCUGGCCCUGGGCGCCGUCGCCUCCCUGGUGCUCCUCGGCCUACACGUGGGGCCCCUGUCC